rnacentral:rRNA from 1 species
AUUGAACGCUGGCGGCAGGCUUAACACAUGCAAGUCGAGCGGGGUGAUGGUGCUUGCACUAUCACUUAGCGGCGGACGGGUGAGUAAUGCUUAGGAAUCUGCCUAUUAGUGGGGGACAACAUCUCGAAAGGGAUGCUAAUACCGCAUACGUCCUACGGGAGAAAGCAGGGGAUCACUUGUGACCUUGCGCUAAUAGAUGAGCCUAAGUCGGAUUGGCUAGUUGGUGGGGUAAAGGCCUACCAAGGCGAGGAUCUGUAGCGGGUCUGAGAGGAUGAUCCGCCACACUGGGACUGAGACACGGCCCAGACUCCUACGGGAGGCAGCAGUGGGGAAUAUUGGACAAUGGGGGGAACCCUGAUCCAGCCAUGCCGCGUGUGUGAAGAAGGCCUUAUGGUUGUAAAGCACUUUAAGCGAGGAGGAGGCUCUUUUGGUUAAUACCCAAGAUGAGUGGACGUUACUCGCAGAAUAAGCACCGGCUAACUCUGUGCCAGCCGCCGCGGUAA